rnacentral:misc_RNA from 1 species
GGUCAAUUGAUCAUAUUUUCUUAAAUACAUCCGCCGCUGUGAGAGGCCAUCCCCCUGCUUUUUUUCUUCCCACGGUGUCAACUUGUGAUCUGUGUUCAUAUUUGGAAGAGGUUGGCUUGCUGGGUGUGGCUGUGGGGCAGUUCUCUCUUAGCUUUGGCUGGUAAGCUUUGUUUUGCUAGUCUUUUUAAGAGAGUUUCUCCUUAUUUUGGUUCAAUUCCGGUGAGUCUCUCUUGCUUAUCUCUUAUUGGCAGCGCUGCAAGGGGUGGAAGUUUCUAGGUUUUUGCUAAGUUGGUUGUAGGACAUGUUUGGUUAGGGUUUGGGUUGCUUAUAGGUAGAGAAUUUAUGUUGAUUUUGUAUUGGGUUCACGUCUUAGCCUUUU